rnacentral:rRNA from 1 species
AGUGAACGCUGGCGGUAGGCCUAACACAUGCAAGUCGAACGGCAGCACAGUAAGAGCUUGCUCUUACGGGUGGCGAGUGGCGGACGGGUGAGGAAUACAUCGGAAUCUACUUUUUCGUGGGGGAUAACGUAGGGAAACUUACGCUAAUACCGCAUACGAUCUACGGGUGAAAGCAGUGGAUCUUCGGACCUUGCGCGAUUGAAUGAGCCGAUGUCGGACUAGCUAGUUGGCGGGGUAAAGGCCCACCAUGGCGACGAUCCGUAGCUGGUCUGAGAGGAUGAUCAGCCACACUGGAACUGAGACACGGUCCAGACUCCUACGGGAGGGAGCAGUGGGGAAUAUUGGACAAUGGGCGCAAGCCUGAUCCAGCCAUACCGCGUGGGUGAAGGAGGCCUUCGGGUUGUAAAGCCCUUUUGUUGGGAAAGAAAAGCAGCAGGUUAAUACCCCGCUGUUCUGACGGUACCCAAAGAAUAAGCACCGGCUAACUUCGUG